CAUACCAUUUGCAAAAGUAGGCAACCCAGGGAAUUCAAAAUGGGGUAUGUCCAGUCUUUAGUAGCCACUUAGUCACACACACUAGGCAAAGAUAGUGUUCAUAUUUCUUUUUUGCAUUUUUCACACAAAAACACAUAUAACUUUGGCCAGUGUUUGUGACUAAGUGGCUACUAAAAAAAGAUGGACUUAACCAAUUUUGAAUUCCCCUGGGUUGCCUACUUUUGCAAAUGGUAUG